rnacentral:rRNA from 1 species
UGGUGGAGUGAUUUGUCUGGUUUAUUCCGAUAACGAACGAGAUCUCAUCCUACUAAAUAGUUACCUGUAUCUUCAGUAUAGGUGAAGCUUGUCUCUGUAUCGGGACUUGUCCUGGUACUUGGGCAGGUGAAUCCUUGAUGUAUAUGGGGUGUACUUCUUAGAGGGACAAUGUAUGUUUAAUACAUGGAAGUGAGGCAAUAACA